GGCUGGAUAGUUCAGUGGCAGAAUUCUUGCUUUGGGAAAACGCAUAUGUAAGAGGUCCUGGGUUCAAAUCCCAGUUCAGCCC
rnacentral:tRNA from 1 species